UACGGGGGGAGCAAGCGUUGUUCGGAAUUACUGGGCGUAAAGAGCGCGCAGGCGGUCGUGCAAGUCGCGUGUGAAAGCCCCCGGCUCAACUGGGGAGGGUCACGCGAUACUGCUCGACUCGAAGGCAGGAGAGGGAAGUGGAAUUCCCGGUGUAGUGGUGAAAUGCGUAGAUAUCGGGAGGAACACCAGUGGCGAAGGCGACUUCCUGGCCUGUUCUUGACGCUGAGGCGCGAAAGCUAGGGUAGCAAACGGG
rnacentral:rRNA from 1 species